GAGUCGAACGGCAUACACAGGAGAGCUUGCUCUCUGGGUGGCGAGUGGCGGACGGGUGAGGAAUACAUCGGAAUCUACCUUUUCGUGGGGGAUAACGUAGGGAAACUUACGCUAAUACCGCAUACGACCUACGGGUGAAAGUGGGGGACCGCAAGGCCUCACGCGAUUAGAUGAGCCGAUGUCCGAUUAGCUAGUUGGCGGGGUAAUGGCCCACCAAGGCGACGAUCGGUAGCUGGUCUGAGAGGAUGAUCAGCCACACUGGAACUGAGACACGGUCCAGACUCCUACGAGAGGCAGCAGUGGGGAAUAUUGGACAAUGGGCGCAAGCCUGAUCCAGCCAUACCGCGUGGGUGAAGAAGGCCUUCGGGUUGUAAAGCCCUUUUGUUGGGAAAGAAAUCCUGUCGAUUAAUACUCGGUGGGGAUGACGGUACCCAAAGAAUAAGCACCGGCUAACUUCGUGCCAGCAGCCGCGGUAAUACGAAGGGUGCAAGCGUUACUCGGAAUUACUGGGCGUAAAGCGUGCGUAGGUGGUGGUUUAAGUCUGCUGUGAAAGCCCUGGGGCUCAACCUGGGAAUUGCAGUGGAUACUGGGUCACUAGAGUGUGGUAGAGGGAUGCGGAAUUUCUGGUGUAGCAGUGAAAUGCGUAGAGAUCAGAAGGGAACCAUCCGUGGCGAAGGCGGCAUCCCUGGGGCCAACACUGACACUGAGGCACGAAAAGCGUGGGGGAG
rnacentral:rRNA from 1 species